rnacentral:rRNA from 1 species
UUUCUUUUCUAGUGCAGGUUCUCUACACGCAUCAGGAAUGCGGUUAGGUGUUGGCUCGAUGUUCCGGAGCUAGACUUGGAUGCGUGGGCUGAGGUCACAACAGUCAAGCUUUGGUAGGAGAGGACGGUCCUCGGUCGUGGCCACAGGACCAAGGCGAUGUCUUCGCUUCUGAUGCUCGUUUCGUGGGAGUUGUGGAAUGAGAGAAAUGCAAGGGUGUUCCAGAAGAAAGCUUCGAUGCCGACCGUUGUGGUCGGCCGAAUAAAGACGGAGUUGAGAAUUUGGGUUUUGGCUGGGGCCAAACACUUGGGAUCCUUGAUGCCGCAAGAGUAG